UACGUAGGGAGCAAGCGUUGUCCGGAAUCAUUGGGCGUAAAGCGCGCGUAGGCGGCCCGGUAAGUCCGUUGUGAAAGUCAAAGGCUCAACCUUUGAAUGCCGAUGGAUACUGCCGGGCUCGAGUCCGGAAGAGGCGAGUGGAAUUCCUGGUGUAGCGGUGGAAUGCGCAGAUAUCAGGAGGAACACCAAUAGCGAAGGCAGCUCGCUGGGACGGUACUGACGCUAAGGCGCGAAAGCGUGGGGAGCAAACAGG
rnacentral:rRNA from 1 species